AACUGUACUCACAGUGAAGACGCUGGAGUCAUUUGUUCAGAAGUAAGACUGGUUGGAGGUUCUCGCUGCUCUGGGAGGUUAGAGAUCCUUCAUAAUCAGACGUGGAUGUCAGUGUGUGAUGCUGUCUUUGACCAGCAGGAUGCAGAGGUUGUGUGUAGAGAGCUGGACUGU